rnacentral:rRNA from 1 species
CUCCAGACUCCUACGGGAGGCAGCAGUGGGGAAUAUUGCACAAUGGGGGAAACCCUGAUGCAGCGACGCCGCGUGAGCGAUGAAGUAUUUCGGUAUGUAAAGCUCUAUCAGCAGGGAAGAAGAUGACGGUACCUGACUAAGAAGCCCCGGCUAACUACGUGCCAGCAGCCGCGGUAAUACGUAGGGGGCAAGCGUUAUCCGGAUUUACUGGGUGUAAAGGGAGCGUAGACGGCGAUGCAAGCCAGAUGUGAAAGCCCGGGGCUCAACCCCGGGACUGCAUUUGGAACUGUGUGGCUGGAGUGUCGGAGAGGCAGGCGGAAUUCCUAGUGUAGCGGUGAAAUGCGUAGAUAUUAGGAGGAACACCAGUGGCGAAGGCGGCCUGCUGGACGAUGACUGACGUUGAGGCCCGAAAGCGUGGGGAGCAAACAGGAUUAGAUACCCGCGUAGG